CCGCCAGGAUGUGCCCCCGGCCCCGUCGUCGCGGCGCCCGCGCCCCUCGCCCCAGUACGUCUUUUUUCGUUUCCUAAAUUUCUUAUUUUUGUCCUUGCAAGUGGCCCUGUCUGGUGUGAACCGUCAGCACAGAUGGCCUCCUGGAGCUUCCCCGAGUCGUUCGCUGGGGGAAGCGGGCGGUGAGCGGCCGGCCCGGGCGCUCCGCAGGCCGCGAGCUCCUGGCAGGGCUGGUGGCGGGGGUCCGCCUGGGGGAGGAAUCCCCGCCUGCUCCAUCGGACCCGGCCUGGCGCGGCUCGCGGCGCUCGGCGGGCUCCCUUCCAUUCUAGAAUCUUCCCGCUUGCUUCCCAGCCCGCGUUCUUCCGCCUGCCUUUAAUUGUAAUUUACAGGACUAAGGAGUUUGGGGAAGUCGCAGAGCCGCAGCGGAAAGGCAGGGGUCUGAGACUACUUUUGAGAAGAGAAACAACGCAAAACGAUCGCUGGAGGGCCAGAGCCCUGAUCGAAGAAGCAGACACAGGUUCCCACGGCGUCUGACGCCUGCGGAGCAAGUCCAGAGCCAGCUGGACUCGCAGCCUCUGGCCCGGCGGCACCAACUCCAUACUGGGUCAUUUUGAGCGCGCUGUGCCCACCUUUUCUGUUGCGUGUGGACGUGGGGAGGAUCUUCUAAGUCCCUCCAACGAAGGCAAGUGUGAGACUCUGGCCCUUUAUUUGUAAGAAGCAAGCCUUCAGAUUGCAGAAGUGUCGCGCGGGUCGCCAUGCGUUGCGCGAGUGGGAAGAUGGAGGAGGCCGGCACGCUGCUUUCGUGGACGCAAGUGAACCGGCCGUGAAGGCAGGGUGCGAGCUCUGCCCUUGGCCCAGCCCUGCGUGGGCGCCGUCCCAGAUUCCGGGCGGUGCGGGGUGCAGAGAUCUGGAGAGAGUUGCGGGGUGCAGAGAUCUGGAGAGACUUGCGGGCUCCCCAGCGCAGGCUGCUCUGGGAUUUCGUUGGAAGAUCCGGCAGAGCCUUGGAGGAGAGGGCCCGGGAGGCUGUGUGUGCAGCGGAAACUUGUACGAAUGCCCCCACAGCGGAAAUGGUGCGCACGAGUAAUUUCUGCGGUGCACCCUUUUAAAAAUUGACAAGUGAACAAGAUCAAUUUUUUAAGAAAGCAAAGGUAGAAAACAAAAGGCGUGCGACUUCUUGACUGGCUUGUUCCCGCCUUUCUUCCUUCUCUAUACUCAGAUCAGAAACUUUAAUUGCUCUUAUUCAGUGCGACAACUUUUAAUAAAAGCAUUUGCAUUUUAAGCCUGAGUUGCAACCAUAGAUUUGUUGCGAAGUGACAACGUGUCUAUGGAAUAUUUUCGCAGAUGAGACAGGACAUGCGCUCUAGUCGUGCCCAGAUUAAAGGGACGCUGGUCCAUGUGCCUGUGUAGUGCAGACUCGGAGGGGCACACACAUACUCGUCAUCACAUGACCACUGUCUAUUAAUAUUGUCAUACCUAAACACUCGCAAAAACAAAAGUUGCUUUUCUU
rnacentral:lncRNA from 1 species